rnacentral:rRNA from 1 species
UACGGGAGGGUGCAAGCGUUAAUCGGAAUUACUGGGCGUAAAGCGUGCGCAGGCGGUUUGUUAAGUCCGUUGUGAAAGCCCCGAGCUCAACUUGGGAAUUGCAGUGGAUACUGGCAGGCUGGAGUACGGUAGAGGAAGGUGGAAUUCCCGGUGUAGCAGUGAAAUGCGUAGAUAUCGGGGAGGAACACCAGUGGCGAAGGCGGCCUUCUGGACCAGUACUGACGCUCAUGCACGAAAGCGUGGGGAGCAAACAGG